CUACGGGGCGCUCCAGUGGGGAAUUUUGGACAAUGGGGGCAACCCUGAUCCAGCCAUUCCGCGUGAGUGAAGAAGGCCUUCGGGUUGUAAAGCUCUUUCGGCAGGAACGAAACGGCGGGCUCUAACAUAGCCUGUCAAUGACGGUACCUGAAGAAGAAGCACCGGCUAACUACGUGCCAGCAGCCGCGGUAAUACGUAGGGUGCGAGCGUUAAUCGGAAUUACUGGGCGUAAAGCGUGCGCAGGCGGUUAUGUAAGACAGAUGUGAAAUCCCCGGGCUUAACCUGGGAACUGCGUUUGUGACUGCAUAACUCGAGUGUGGCAGAGGGGGGUGGAAUUCCACGUGUAGCAGUGAAAUGCGUAGAGAUGUGGAGGAACACCGAUGGCGAAGGCAGCCCCCUGGGUUAACACUGACGCUCAUGCACGAAAGCGUGGGGAGCAAACAGGAUUAGAUACCCCGGUAGUC
rnacentral:rRNA from 1 species